GGGGUGGGGGUCAGGAAAAGCUUCCUAGAGGAAAAGCGACUUUAUGGCGCCUGCUGCCACCGCUCGCAGAGGACAAAAGAUCAGGGGACAAAGCUUGAUCUUUUGAUUUUGAUUUAGAACUGCCAAAGAAGAAGUCCACGUGAAAAUGCUGUGGGCCGUGCCGGGACCGCGGAAAGUUGAUGAGCAGGAGUUCCCUGCUGAAAGGGAGAUGGAGCUGGCAGUGUGACUUGUGGGUGUGGGGGGAGGCUCCACGCCCAUCUCUAUCUCCCAGGAAAGUCAUUCUUGUCUUCAGUCCUCAGAUUCCUAAAAGGCGGAACUAAAGCCUAAGCAAGGCAAGAGAAGGGAAAGAGAAUGAAUUCAGAGAAGAGGUGUGCAGGAGAGAGGGGAAAGAAAAAGGACUGUAGAAAGUGGGGAACGUUAGAUACCGCCCAGGCAGUUCCUACAGACAGAGGACCUGAGGUCUGAGGGGCUUAUUCAGAUAUCACAGUUACAAAGAUGGAAAAGCUGUCUCCUCCUUUGCUGAGAGGUUUGCUCAUUCUACAAGAUCUUUGAAGCUUUUGUAGACUUCCUUAAAUCUCUCCAGACUCCACCAUACCAUACCCAUUUCAACUGAACACGUUAAACAUGCCUGUGUGGGAUGUGAAACUUCCUUGACCGGGAUCGAACCCAGGCCCUGUGCAGCGGAAGGUGUGGAGUCUUAACCACUGGACUACCAGGGAAGUCCUAAACAUGGUUAACUUUCCGAAUACAAAUUUGCAAGAGAGCUGGCAUGGAGAAGGAAAUCCUUUAUCUGUGUUCUGGGCCGUCGUGACAUUUGGAUGAGGUCGAGCAAGGAAGGAGGCUGUCUUUGGGGCAGACAAAGUGCACAGCCCCACUUUGACACACCCUUGGAAGCCAUCUCCUGCCUGCUGUUCUGGGCUCUCAUUGCAUCCGUGGCCCUUUCUCCCCAACCUGGAGACAGCUGGAUGCGAGCUCCUGCCCGGCCCACCACAACCCCUGGCUGCCUCCCUCUGAGGAAAUAAAACCAAGUCAAGCAUCCCACCCAAACCUCAG
ensembl:lncRNA